AGUCAUGGAGCAACUGGAGAAGGAGAUUGAGGAGCUGAAGAGGACAGAAGCUGAGCUGAAGGAGCUUUCAGAGACAAAGACCAUCUCCACUUUCUGCAGACUUUCUCCUCUCGCUGUGUCCUUCCUGCUGAUGGAGACUCGCUGAGCUUCACUGUCACCACUGAGUUCUCAUCUGAGGACCUGAGAAAGGAGCUGUCAGGUCUGACAAAGAGUCUGAAGAAGAUCAGUCAGGGGGACAUCAUGACAAGGACUCCAUCAGGUACAGCGUCUGGUGACAUUGUGUUUGUUAUUGAAGUCCAUUAGGAGGACCAGAGUGACAUAAAGAGGACACUGAAAAAGGCCUGCUCUUUAACAUUUAUCUGCCAUACUUUGCUCUUUAUUAUUUUUUACUAUAUAGUGCCUUUCACUUUGAUUAGCUGAGUGAUAAUAAACUCUCUAAAUAAUCAGCUGUGUUUAAUCAGAUGUUU